GCCGUAGCUCAGCUGGGAGAGCACCUGCUUUGCAAGCAGGGGGUCGUCGGUUCGAUCCCGUCCGGCUCCACCACUU
rnacentral:tRNA from 1 species